AGAUGAAGAAACCCAGCUUGAUAUGUUGGAAUCUGGUGAACAGUAACAAACUUUGGUGAAAUUUCAGGAACCAUAGCCAUUGAAGUGGAUGAGGGAACCUAUAUACAUGCACUCAACAAUGGUCUUUUUACCCUGGGAGCUCCACACAAAGAAGAAUCGCCCUGAAACCUGGCUAUGGAAAAUAUCUUAGUAUAAAUUCAGAUGAACUUGUUGUUGGCGUUCAGAUGCAAUUGGACCAAGAGAACAAUGGGAACCAGUCUUUCAAAAUGAUGGCCAUCCAGUAAUGAGAAUGAACAGUCUCCAACUAAAGGCAACAAUAUAGAUGAAUCUCGGAAACAUGAUAUUGACCAGACAGAAAAGAUUCCACUUACAUAAACUUCAAAAGAAGAUAAAACUGAUCUAUGACAUUAAUAGUCAGAAUAUUCAUUAUCCUUGAGGGAACUAAACUGGGAAGCCACAUGAUAGGGCAUCUGGAAGCUAGUAAUGUCCUCUUUCUUGAUCUGUUACAUUGGUGUGUUUAUUUCAUUAGAUUUAUUGAGCUAUACAUUUACCACCGUGUACUUGUCUCUGUAUAUGUUUUGCAUUGAAAUAAAUUUUACCAAUAAAAUGAUAAAGCAAAAUAAA
rnacentral:lncRNA from 1 species